CAUUAAAGAACGGAGAGUGUCGACGUUACGAGGGUGAGCUGCUAAUUGCUCUUCGAGGGCUUGUUCUUUUUCUUCCAUGGUGUUCGGAGGCGUGAGGGGAGCUGCGAUGGCCGGGGGUUUGAGGUGGAGGAGAGCAGCGGCGGUUGUUAGAGUGAUGCAUGUGGACUUGAGGAAGCGGAAAGGUGCGGACUUUUGGAGAGGGAUGAGGAUGAAGUUUUGAGGUUUGGAAGAAGAAGAAGAAGAAGCUUUGAGAGAAGGGUAUUUGAGAGAGGGGUUUGGUCGGAUUGAGAGUGAGGAUUGUUUCGGGAAGGAUGAAGAGGUGUGAGUUAAGGGAAGGUGGGAUGGCUGGUGAUGAAGCUGUAAUCUUCCCAGAGAGUACAUGAUUGGGGUGAGAGAUGAACCUUCAAACCCUUUGUUCAGUAAAGAGAGAUCUGAGGAAGAUGGAGAAUGAAGAAGAUCAAAGGUCCGAUUGAUAAUGAUUUUAGACUGCAGUUGUUACUUUAAAAAGAUUAAAAGCUUAACAAAAGUUUCAGAAUUUUUUUACUGUUAUAACAAAAAUUCUCCAGAAUACACCUAAAACAGUUUUUGUGACGUAUAUAAACCUUAAAAAUAAAAAUGAUCAAAAUAAACUUAAAUGUUUUAUAAAACAAAUAAAUAUACACUUAUACUAUUAACGUUAAUUAAUCUACACAUUAGGGUUUAGAGUUAAAGAGUGGAGUUUAGGAUUUAAGGUUUAGGGUUUAGAUUCUAGAGUUAAGAGUUGAACAAAGGAAUUUUAGGGAUAGGAUUUCAAAUUUAUAAAAAUAAAAUAAAAUUUUAAAUUUUAAAAUAAAAAAUGCUAUUUUGGUCAUUUUAGUUUUAGAGAUCUAUUUUUGUGACAAAAAUUUUUUAAAAAAAUAUUUGAGAGAAUUGUCCCAGUUAUAAAUCUAUAUCAUUAAAACAGGAUUUCUAUUAGGAUUAUGCUUUUCAUUUUUCGAAAUAUUACAUUACUAUACCGUUGACAUUUAAUUUUAAUAUAAAUACUAGAUUCGGGUAUAUUUUUUGUUUUAUAUUUUUUAAAAUUUAAUUUUUAUAUUUGUGUUUUUAGUUAUAUCUAUGUUUUUCUUUGUAUAAUAUUUUUUUAAAUGAUUAAUAAAAGAUUUUUAUAAUUGUACUAGAUUCGGGUAUAUUUUUUUGUAAAAGUGUUAGAGUUCCAAUACAAAUCUUCGAAGGAGUUCUCUCCAAAAGCUAUUAAAUAAAAGCUCUAAGUAAUAUGGCGUUGAAUAAAUGUGUAAGGUGGUGUUUUGCCUAAAUAAUGGCAAACGCUAUAAAUACUAAGUAUAAAGCCGGUCAAUAGCAUUCUGGUAAUAUGUGGAUUUUCUAGGUUUGAGUCGGCUUGAAUCAAGUCGGGCCCCGUCUAAUCGCUCGGGUGUCGAGCGACACCAAAAAAGAAUGUCGAUCAGCACUUCUUGUGAAUCUCAGUUCUAACUUCUGAUUUAUUGAGACGCUACGAGUUUCUUCGUCCAUAAGCUCUAAAAUGCUUCAUAAUCUCCGCAUUGUUUUAAAACAUGUAUGGACCUUAAAAACACUCUAAAUAAGCUCCAAACUUAAUAUAAUAACUCUAAAAAAUGAUUUAUAUUAUGGCUAUAAAAAUACCGGUCAAAAAAUUUUAUAUUCAAGAUACCACCAAUGCCCUCUUGCUAUGUAAUAGAGGCUCUAUUACAGAGCUGCCUCAAGAUUCAAGAUUGAUCUGUUCGAGAAAGCUAUAGAAGAUAGCACACUGGUUCUCAAUCUUCAGCCACGGCAUCGAGCUAUAACUGAUUUUUAAGAACCGGUAUAAACCGGGCGAGCUAGAAAUGAUUUUUAAAAAUUUGGUGUGAAGCUAUAGAAGAUAGCACACUGGUUCUCAAUCUUCAGCCACGGCAUCGAGCUAGAAAUGAUUUUUAAAAAUUUGGUGUGAUUGCAAUCAAUUUUUAUUUGGUUUCAAAAUUGGCGUGGUCAGAAAUCAGACGCGCUCUCCGAAUAUUCUCUACCUGUUUGCUUCAUACAAAAUUACAAAUACGAUAGCGUUUCCGUCGUUGAUGGGCUUUUAAGUCUCAUGCUCCCGCAACUCGAUUAAGAUAAAUAUCAUGAAGCACAUUGUAACAUUGACUUUGAGUAUAAGCAACUGUAAUAACACUUUCAAACCGCUACGGAACAACCUUGGUGGUGGGAGACCGAGACCAAGAAAACAAAAAUAACAGACACACGAAAUUAAGGUACACAGGCCUUUCCCUCUUUUCUUUUCAUUUCUAUACAUGAAAUUAUGUAUAACAUGACUACAAUAAACCCCAAGAAAAGUGAUGAAACCAGAAGCUGCAGAUUUUUUUUUUAAUCCAAACAUUCAUCUGCUGUUUCUUCUUUUACUAGUUCUUGUGGUUAUAUAAAAAUGGACCAGGGUUUGGGUUAAAGGGAAUACUCUGUUCUCGGCUUCGUGUGAAGAAGGGAUGGUUCAGUGCUUCUCUUGCCUUGAGCCUCACCGCUGGAUCAUAUCUAAGCAAUCCUUGUAACAGAUCUAUCAGGUCACCCGCCGAGUGAUCCACAUGCUGCAUGAUCAAGUUCUGCAGAAGGUUCAAUUAAAACAUGGUGUCCAGCACAGAUGAGUUAAUGUCAAUUCCAAAGUUAUUUAAUUUCGAUACUUAAAAGAGAUUAGUUACCGGUAACCGGGGAAGUUUCCACACUGCUUUCAAGCUGUCUCUCGACGUCGCACCUUCAGGCCAAUCUAACUUUGCACCUCGCCUGAAGUAUCUCUCCGAGCGCCGGCUGCAGGAGAACCGUUUUGAUUUUCAUAUAAGAAAUUAAAAAAUUCACUUUCAUAUCCGCUGGUAUCUGAUGCUGUUAUUAGGAUUAGACUUGUAGUCUUGUAGUUCUUACUCGGCUCUGAGCACCAUAUGAGGUGGCAAUGGUCCUAGGACCCUUUCCAUCAUGGCCAAAUGUUCCAAGUUUUCAUGCGUUUGGAAAAGCGCCUCCCCCUGCAAAAUUUAUUCAGAAAACAUAUAUAUAUAUAUUAUCUACACAGAUGUAACAUAAAAACAUUAAAAGAGAAAGUUACUCACCGAACAAAGUUCAACAAGUAUGCAACCAAUACUCCACAGGUCACAUGGAUAGUUCCAUCCAACCCCUGCAACAAAGUUCCAUACUAUUAAAAUAUUAUGUACACAGAGGUGUCAAAAAGUCAUAAGAGUUAUUAAGUUUACCUAGGAUAACUUCUGGUGCGCGGUAAUGCCUUGUGGAUACGAUAUAGUUAUGGUCUUGAUGUUCAAAGGUUGUACUUCCAAAAUCAAUGAGCUUUAUGGCACUUGACUUUGGCAGAUUCUUGAAGUAUGAUCCAUCUUUCGUGGGCCGUGAUAGAAACUAGAUUUUCAUCACCACAAAGGAAAAAAAACCUUUUUGCAACUCAGCAUUGCUUCCUCGAUUCUACACUCUACUUUUUCCCAAUCAAGACCUUCAUCGGAAUAAGCCAUACACAAGCCGUGAUGAGCUUCAGGGCGAAGAGGGUCUUUAGCUAGAAUCUCUUGGUAUACGGUUUUAGCUGAUUCUGUAUCUCCACUGUAUAGAAAGCAUUUGGCUUUCUGAACCAGCCACUUCGGUUCGUCCGGUUCAAGUUUUAUCAGACGGUCGGUUAGUUUUAUAGCUUCUGUGAACUCUCCAGAUCUGAAAUUUACCUCCAUUAAAGAACGGAGAGUGUCGACGUUACGAGGGUGAGCUGCUAAUUGCUCUUCGAGGGCUUGUUCUUUUUCUUCCAUGGUGUUCGGAGGCGUGAGGGGAGCUGCGAUGGCCGGGGGUUUGAGGUGGAGGAGAGCAGCGGCGGUUGUUAGAGUGAUGCAUGUGGACUUGAGGAAGCGGAAAGGUGCGGACUUUUGGAGAGGGAUGAGGAUGAAGUUUUGAGGUUUGGAAGAAGAAGAAGAAGAAGCUUUGAGAGAAGGGUAUUUGAGAGAGGGGUUUGGUCGGAUUGAGAGUGAGGAUUGUUUCGGGAAGGAUGAAGAGGUGUGAGUUAAGGGAAGGUGGGAUGGCUGGUGAUGAAGCUGUAAUCUUCCCAGAGAGUACAUGAUUGGGGUGAGAGAUGAACCUUCAAACCCUUUGUUCAGUAAAGAGAGAUCUGAGGAAGAUGGAGAAUGAAGAAGAUCAAA
rnacentral:lncRNA from 1 species